rnacentral:rRNA from 1 species
AUUGAACGCUGGCGGCAGGCCUAACACAUGCAAGUCGAGCGAGCGGCGGACGGGUGAGUAAUGUAUGGGGACUGCCCGAUAGAGGGGGAUAACUACUGGAAAGGGUGGCUAAUACCGCAUACUAUCGGAUGACCCAUAUGGGAUUAGCUAGUAGGUGGGGUAAAGGCUCACCUAGGCGACGAUCCCUAGCUGGUCUGAGAGGAUGACAAUCCACACUGGGACUGAGACACGGCCCAGACUCCUACGGAGGCAGCAGUGGGGAAUAUUGCACAAUGGGCGCAAGCCUGAUGCAGCCAUGCCGCGUGUAUGAAGAAGGCCUUAGGGUUGUAAAGUACUUUCGGCGGAGAGGCGUUACCCGCAGAAGAAGCACCGGCUAACUACGUGCCAGCAGCCGCGGUAAUAC